UCUAAAAUAGCUUAAGUCUUAAAGCUUUGAUUUUGUAAGUCAAAAAUGAGUAACAGUUCCUCUUUUAGAA
rnacentral:tRNA from 1 species